UACGUAGGGGGCGAGCGUUGUCCGGAGUUACUGGGCGUAAAGGGCAUGCAGGCGGUCGGACGCGUUUUGUGUGACAGCGGGUGGCUCAACUACGCGAGCAUACGAAAGACGGUUUGACUUGAGGGCUCGAGAGGGACACGGAAUUCCGGGUGGAGUGGUGAAAUGCGUAGAGAUCCGGAGGAACACCGAAGGCGAAGGCAGUGUCCUGGCGAGUGACUGACGCUGAGGUGCGAAAGCCAGGGGAGCGAACAGG
rnacentral:rRNA from 1 species